rnacentral:lncRNA from 1 species
AGGUGUCCGCACGCAUCUGCUCCCUGGCACCCUCUCGAGGAGCCCCUGAGGAUUCGUGCCUCCCAGAGGUGGGGAAAGCCCGCCCGAGGCUUCGGUGCUGACGGUGGCGGGGCUGCCGGGCACGCUGUGGAACCGCCUCCCGCUAGAGCUGUGGGCUGGUGACGGUCCCGCGGGGGCGGGAAGCGGCUCAGGCUGCCCUCCUGGCCUGCGGCAGUGCGUCUGGGAGCGCGGGCCACUCGUGCGCGGGUCACUCGGGGCUGUGCCUCGCGCGACUGUGUGUGCAGGAAACAAGCAGGAAAUACCCUAAAAUGGAAUGAAGCGCCAUGUUGAGGGCCGCGGACGUCGCGAGUGCUGUGGGAAUGUGGGCCAAGGUGGAGAGUUAUGGUGGCGCGUGUUACAGGGUCAGGAGUCAGGAAGAAGCCUAAUCAUGGAGCCGGCAUCUGAGGAGGGUCUUGAACGCUGGGCAGGCUUUUGCCCAAUAGAGAUGGAGGAAGCUAGUCCUGUCUGAUGGAGGAAACAGGGCAGAGGCGUGGAGGGAGACGCGCAGUGCUGGUGUGAGGAGCCGCGAGCAGGCCAGGCCUGUAAAUCAGCGUGAUGGGAACCAGGAUAGAGAAGGCAAGUCGGGGUCCUGUGGUCGCUGAAGAAUUUGAAUGAAAUCAGUAAACAGAGAUCUUAUCUAUCAAGCCCUUCUCAAAUGCCACUUCAAAAAACUUUUUCUAAUCCCCAAUUGUCUUAGUCAAUUUAUGCUCUUACAACAAAAUAACACAGACUAGGCAAUUUAUGAAAACCAGACGUUUAUCUGUCAUAGUUCUGGAGACUAGGAAGUCCAAGAUCAAGGCAUUGGCAGGUCUGAUGUCUGGAAAGGGCUGUUCUCUCCAUUCAAGAUGGUGUUUUGAUGCUGCAUCUUCCAGAGACAGGGAACAUUGUGUCCUCACAUUGUGGAAGGCGGGAGGGCAAGAGGGAUGAACUCCCUCCAUGGAGCCCUUUCAUGAGGGCUCCUAAACCCAUUCCUGAGGUAGGAGUCCUGAUGGCCUAAUCAAUUCCUGUAGGCUCCAUCUCCACACUAUCACAUUGUCAACGCUGAAUCUUGGAGGAGGCACAGUGAAACCAUGGCACCAAUCAAGUAUGAUCUUUCUCUCCUCAGAAACCCCCUCAUAUGUUUAUACCUCCCAUGCACUUUUAUACAUUUUGUCUCAUGGUUUCUUCCUGUACAAAUAAGUUGCUAUAAAUGGAUAGCUAUAAUUUUGGGUUUCAUUUCAACAAAACACCCUUCCUAGUUUUUUGAACCCCAAGCGAAAUAUGAGGACAGGCCCCACCUUCCAUUACAAAAGCUGAAAGGAGUGCAUGAUCCUUUUUCCAGUUUCUUGGCCACUCACGUGUGGGCACAUAUCUAGGCCCAGCCAACGGAUGUCUCUUUAUUAGAACUUGGAACCCGAUGAAAUGAUGCAAAAGACCUGAAAGAAUCAGAGAUGAUUCUGAGACAUUGAGCAGAGAUGCAGGUCCAGGAAUGUGGCAGCAAGGUCCUAGGUUCAGCAGAGCCCAGCUACAUGGUGACAAGUGUCAAAUGGCAACAUCCUAGUGGUGGCAUCCCAAGAUCUGCUUCCAUCGAAUGAGCUUGGCUGUGCUGAGUUUCCCUCAGUUCUUACCUUGCUUCUCCAGCAUCUUCAGUGAUUUUGUGAACUAUUCAAUAUCCUUUCAUCGAAUUCCUAUUUCGCUUAAGUUGUCUAGAAUUUGAUAUUUUCAGUGAAAAAUAUAAACCAAUUAUCCCCUCACAUUAAAACACACUCCACUUAGGCAUCUCCUGUGAUCUCACUGGAGAAAAGUGUGGACGUUAUUUGUAAUUAGACUCAGAAUGAUAGGAUUAGUUUGGUACUAGUAACAAUGGAGAUAAGUAACUAACUUUUUGUGAAACUUCUUCCUGGGGUGAAACAAAAUCUAUUGUGGAAACUCUUUCCAAUCAUCUCUGGAAAUUUAUUAAGUGACCUAGUAUAUAAUGCUAAUUUACCAUGAUACUUGAUAAAAUAGUUUUGUGUGUUCAGAAUAAUUUCUUUUUUUCUUUACCUUUGAAAACAAUGCAUCGAUAGUUAAUUUUCUCCUAAAUUGUCUGUUUUUAUUUCCAUAAAAGGUAUU